GACGAACGCUGGCGGCGUGCUUAACACAUGCAAGUCGAACGGAAAGGCCCUGCUUUUGUGGGGUGCUCGAGUGGCGAACGGGUGAGUAACACGUGAGUAACCUGCCCUUGACUUUGGGAUAACUUCAGGAAACUGGGGCUAAUACCGGAUAGGAGCUCCUGCUGCAUGGUGGGGGUUGGAAAGUUUCGGCGGUUGGGGAUGGACUCGCGGCUUAUCAGCUUGUUGGUGGGGUAGUGGCUUACCAAGGCUUUGACGGGUAGCCGGCCUGAGAGGGUGACCGGCCACAUUGGGACUGCGACACGGCCCAGACUCCUCCGGGAGGCAGCAGUGGGGAAUAUUGCACAAUGGGCGGAAGCCUGAUGCAGCAACGCCGCGUGCGGGAUGACGGCCUUCGGGUUGUAAACCGCUUUCGCCUGUGACGAAGCGUGAGUGACGGUAAUGGGUAAAGAAGCACCGGCUAACUACGUG
rnacentral:rRNA from 1 species